CCUCCCCGCUAGCCCAUAGUUCGUGCCGACUCGCCGCUGAUCAACCCCUCUCCUCCGACCCCGCAUUACCAAUCCCAUCGCCAGCAUACAAACAGACCUUCCCCCACCACUUGCUAACUACUUGUUGAUCUUCCAGGAACGGAUAGACGAUUCGUCGAACCUCGUGCUUUCACUUUUUCUUAUUUUUUGCUCUAUUUCUAUUUGUACGAUAAAUUUAUUGAAAAUGCGAUUUAACGUAAUACUUGUGACACGAAAUGUAAGUAUCCUGAGUAUAGUAAAAUGUUAGAAAUUCAUAAUUGUACUCGCUGCACAUUUACGUUGAAGAAAUUAGAGGAGCUUGCUAUGGUAUUCUAGUGUAUUAUUAUUUCUUCUGUUCCCUUUGUGUGCUUCUUUAUCUUUUAUUUUAUUUACCUUUUGUUCUGUUUAAUUGCAUUUUGCGCUUGACCGAAAUGAAACAACUCUUUGAAAUACAUAUCUGGAAAUACAGCAUUGCAUCAUUCCUAAAUGAAUCGUCAGGUUGUUAUACCCAGAUGAGAUAAUACAAUUACUCGAUAAUUACCGAAUUUUUCGAAGAAAUUCGGCGCGUCGUAUUUGUACAGUUAUCUACCUGUUGCCGCGAACGCGGCCAUCGAACGCUCUGUGGUGUAUGACGGAUAGAAAAAGGUGAUAAAAAUCAAUAAAAAGCGGAGAACGUUGAAUCGAAUUGAGUCGAUGUAAGUAAAUAUCGAUAUUGAUUGUUAAAUUAUCAAGCACGAAGUACUUCGUAGGAAAUAUUAUUCCAGAGCAUCUCAAAUCACUAGAGUUCACUAAUCGUAAGUUUAACCCUAACCUAAUCAUAUUUUUCUAUCGUUAAGAAACAUUUCAAAUUUAAGGAAAACGUAAAAGAAUUGUUAUUGUAUGAUAUGCAUGGCUUUUUAUUUGAAUUUUACGCUGAAGAUAUUCUUAAAAUACUACAAAUCUCUUUCUGCGCUGUAUAUAAAGUGAGGUUGGAACAUGAAAAAAUCAAGAACUGCAGCAAAGUUAAUCUAUUAAAGACGAAACAGUGAAAUACAUAAUACGAAAAUACGACAUAAUUGAACAAGGUACAAAUCGAACGUACGAAAGAAUUUCAAUGAUUUGAGAAAUGAUAAUCAUAAUAUUCAAAUUUUUUGAAAUUUUGUGGAAUCAAUGAGAGAGAAGAAAUAAGAACAAAAAGGAUAUUAGAGAUAUCUUUAGGGUUCCCUUGCAUAAUCACAAUCUAUUAAAGAGUAGUCAAAAGUAGUAACGCAAAUUGGCACGAAAAAAGUUGUAAAUGAAAUGUAGCUUUACAAAUGUCCACGUUUCGAUGUCUGAUUUUAAACUCCUCGUGUCACAUCCACUGCCAUAUUCUUAUACUCUUGCUACAAAGGUGAGGUUAUCUCGUAUAGUUGAGCUUCGUAACGAUUCGAGAGCUAACAAGAGGUAGUCUCGGUAUCAUUCUUAUCUACUUUUGCAUUCCCACGUCGCGCAAUGACGGUCGCACGGUUGAUUCUUACUUGGAUUCGCCUCGAAGAAGCUAAAUACUUCCCAAACGUCACAUUUCUAUUCUUCCACGCUCACUUGCACAAUUAAACUAAUAUUAUUCAUGAAAUUUCACAAGUCACAAUUUAUAAGGUAUUAGCAUUAACAAGUUUCCUCGUAUACAUAACCAGAAUAAGUUUAUCAAUAUUAAUAAACACUUUGAAUAGUAAUAAACAGUUUGUUGAUAAAGAAAAAUGAAAUUUUUCGAUUAUCCUAUUUGAUAAAAAAUUAUGAAAUUGUAAAAAGGAAGUUCAUAACUUGUAACUUACUCAUUCACUGAUAUUAUAUAAUAUAGUUAAUAAAUUAUUGUGCAAGAUUG
rnacentral:lncRNA from 11 species